UGACCGCGUAUGAAAGUACGUUUUCACCCUCGGGUGACAGGGAGACAGGUGGUGCAUGGUUGUCGUCAGCUCGUGUCGUGAGAUGUUGGGUUAAGUCCCGCAACGAGCGCAACCCCUACGUUUAGUUGCUAACGCGUGAAGGCGAGCACUCUAGACGAACUGCCGUUGACAAAACGGAGGAAGUGGGAUGACGUCAAAUCAUCAUGCCCCUUAUGUUCUGGGCUACACACGUGCUACAAUGGCCGGUACAGACGGACGCAAAGCCGCGAGGUGGAGCAAAUCCUAAAAAGCCGGUCUCAGUUCGGAUUGCAGGCUGCAAUUCGCCUGCAUGAAGUCGGAAUCGCUAGUAAUCGCAGGUCAGCAUACUGCGGUGAAUACGUUCCCGGGCCUU
rnacentral:rRNA from 1 species